rnacentral:rRNA from 1 species
CUUGGAUAACUGCGGUAAUUCUGGAGCUAAUACAUGCACAAAGCCCCGAACUUACGUGAGGGGCGCUUUUAUUAGAUCAAAACCGAACGGCUCCGGCUGCUCUCUUGGUGACUCUGAAUAACUUUGGGCUGAUCGCAUAGCCUAGCGCUGGCGACAUAUCCUUCGAAGGUGUGCCCUAUCAACUGUCGACUGUGGCAUAGACGCCCACAGUGGUUUUGACGGGUAACGGGGAAUCAGGGUUCGAUUCCGGAGAGGGAGCCUUAAAAACGGCUACCACAUCUAAGGAAGGCAGCAGGCACGCAAAUUACCCAAUGACCGAAGGUCGAGGUAGUGACGAAAAAUAACGAUACGGGACUCAUCUGAGGCCCCGUAAUCGGAAUGAGUACACUUUAAAACCGUCCCCGAGGAUCUAUUGGAGGGCAAGUCUGGUGCCAGCAGCCGCGGUAAUUCCAGCUCCAAUAGCGUAUAUUAAAGUUGUUGUGGUUAAAAAGCUCGUAGUUGGAUCUCGGCGGUCUGAGGGCGGUUCACUUGCUAGUGCUACUGCCCUAUAGACCGUAGUUUUGCCAGAGGUCUCAGGGUGCUCUUAACCGAGUGUCUUGUGAUGCUGGCAGGUUUACUUUGAAAAAAUUAGAGUGCUCAAAGCAGGCUUUUACGCCUGAAUAUUCGUGCAUGGAAUAAUAGAAUAGGAAGUCGUUUCUAUUUUGUUGGUUUUCGGAAAUCGACUUAAUGAUUAAUAGGGACAGUCGGGGGCAUUUGUAUUCAAACGACAGAGGUGAAAUUCUUGGACCGUUUGAAGACAAACUACUGCGAAAGCAUUUGCCAAGAAUGUUUUCAUUAAUCAAGAACGAAAGUUAGAGGUUCGAAGGCGAUUAGAUACCGCCCUAGUUCUAACCAUAAACGAUGCCAGCUAGCGAUCUGCCGACGUUUUUUUUGUAGACUCGGCAGGAAGCUUCCGGGAAACCAAAGCAUUUGGGUUCCAGGGGAAGUAUGGUUGCAAAGCUGAAACUUAAAGGAAUUGACGGAAGGGCACCACCAGGAGUGGAGCCUGUGGCUUAAUUUGACUCAACACGGGAAAUCUCACCAGGCCCGGACACUGGAAGGAUUGACAGAUUGAUAGCUCUUUCUUGAUUCGGUGGGUGGUGGUGCAUGGCCGUUCUUAGUUGGUGGAGUGAUUUGUCUGGUUAAUUCCGAUAACGAACGAGACUCUGUCCUGCUAAAUAGUGUCCGCCUCUCUUUUGGGCGGACAAUUCUUCUUAGAGGGACUGGCGACUCUCAGUCGCACGAGAUUGAGCAAUAACAGGUCUGUGAUGCCCUUAGAUGUUCUGGGCCGCACACGCGCUACACUGAAUAGAUCAACGUGUUCCCCCUUUCCGAGAGGAACGGGUAAACCGCUGAACCCUAUUCGUGGUAGGGAUCGGGGCUUGCAAUUGUUCCCCGUAAACCAGGAAUUCCCAGUAGGCGCAAGUCAUAAGCUUGUGUCGAUUACGUCCCUGCCCUUUGUACACACCGCCCGUCGCUACUACCGAUUGAACGUUUUAGUGAGGUCCUCGGACUGUUUGGUAGGCGGAUGACUCUGCCUGC